AAAAGAGUAGGUUGUAGAAGAGGACCGCUUGGAAAAAAAAAACGGAAAAAGGUACAUUGACUAGUGUUGGUUAUAAUUGUUCAUUGACGUUCCGGUGUAAUAUGAAUAUGUACGUAUGCAUUUUUAGUGGUUUUUAGAGGUUUUAAACAAGAUUUCAAUGGGAGAUAAAAUUCUGUCAGGACUGCAUGGAUUCAAUGUUGUAAUUUUAAAUUUUUUUAAAUUU
ensembl:ncRNA H08J11.12 ncRNA